UGGAGUCGUGUCUGGCCGGGGAAGCAACACACCGCGCAUGUCCGGCCAGUAACUGACGGUCACGCUCCUUCGUAAGACCCAAUCAACGGAAACGUUCCUGACACAGAUCUGGAAGAUGGCGACUGCCGAACCGGAAAACAAUCCAAGUCCAUCCCUGCCGAGAGAGGAUGGAACUGAAGAGACAGGAGAGAUUGGUCAGGAAAUUGUGAGCCCAGAAGCCUACAUCAAACACCCCCUACAAAACAGAUGGUCGCUGUGGUUCUUGAAGAUUGACAAGAGCAAAACAUGGCAGGCAAACCUUCGACUCAUCUCCAAAUUUGAUACAGUUGAAGAUUUCUGGGCUGUAUACAACCAUAUCCAGUUGUCCAGCAAUCUCAUGUCAGGCUGUGAUUACUCCCUUUUUAAGGAUGGUAUUGAGCCCAUGUGGGAGGAUGAGAGGAACAAGCACGGAGGACGCUGGCUGAUCACACUCAACAGGCAGCAGAGAAGAUUAGACUUGGACCGCUUCUGGUUAGAAACGCUGGAGCCAAUCCCAGCUAACUUCGGGCAGCGGCAGACUACACCCCGAGCUGGUCGCCAGCCAGUCGCAGUGCAGAUGUCGACACCAUCACUGAGCGGGAAUCGAUGCCACGCUGCUUUUACUCGAAAUGUCCCUCUGAGGGAAACCCGAACUACAAUGUGGCCCGCAAGAGAAAUGAGUUUGCCAUCCCUGCACUACACCAUCAGAAAAAAAAAAUGGAACAACUCCUCUGCUUAGUGGGAGAGGCCUUUGACGACUACAGCGACGAAGUUUGUGGCGCUGUGGUCAACAUCCGCACAAAAGGAGAUAAAAUUGCUGUCUGGACAGGAAACUAUGAGAACCGCAAUGCUAUAACACACAUAGGGAGAGUUUACAAAGAGCGCUUGGGGCUCCCCUUAAAGAUGACUAUUGGCUACCAAUCUCACUUUGACACAGCACAACCUACCCCAAAGAACAAAUUUGUUGUUUGAGAAGCACCUAUUGUGCCCCUUUUUCAACUUCUGGUCAUAUUUGUUUUUGGUGCGUAUGUUUACUUCGCUGCAAAGACUGCGGAAUGCAAUCCAAGAUUACAUGCCAAAUCUUUCCAUACCCUGCCCAAAUUUUUGACCACAUAAAUAAUUCAAUAUGAAUAUUCCAAAACACUAAACAAACACUUGGACAAUGAUUGUAAUUGGAAUAGUUUAGCAAAAAUCCCAACUGAUAUAUGAACACUAAACUAAAAAAAAAUUGUUUCUGUGUUUGUCAGGUUAAUGCCUUGUAAACGUAUCCAUUUAGUGGUAAUAAUAGAGGUUGCUGUUAAGAGUUCUUAAUGAAAACAUUUUUUUAAUUGCAGUCAAUCCCUUAAUACAAAAAUUUAUAUUUUUCUGCCAUUUUUUUACAGCAUGGGUGGUUUGCUAUAAUUGUAUAAGAAAUUAAACCCUCUAAUUUAUUCUAGCCUCCAUAUUAAUUUGGUAGGGGUUUUUUUUUUUUCUUUGUGCCCUGACUGUUGCAUGUAAUCCAUCUUCUUCGCCAAAAUGUUUCUUGAAUAAUACUUUUGAGUGUUAAUAUAAUAAAAAUGGUAACAUUGCAAUUAUUUGCAAUUAAAUUGUUUGCAAAUUGUCAUAUAUAAUAGGAUAGCAAAUUCAGAGUUACUGACUCUGGUUGUCUAGCAGGCAUUUAAACAUGCUGCCAAUACUAAAGGCUACAAACAGAUAUGCAUUAACUAUUAGUUCCCCCACCCACCCCCUGAUAAUCAUCCUAUAAUCCUUUUUUAAAAUGUCAGUGUAAUUCAGAAAGAAAAGGUUGUUUUUGAGAACAUAGUUUAAAAUUUUGGCUAAUUUCUACAUCAGCUGCUUCACAAAUAUUAUCUGAAUAUACAAAUGCCUUCAGAAAAUGCAGUAAUCUUGAAGACAGUGGCCACACCAAGUGCUAAUGCAGCUCUAAAAUGGCUAUGGGAACACUGUUUAGAUUGAGGGUCUCAAACUCAUUUUACCUUGGGGCCGCUAGAAGCAGAAUCUGGCUGAGGGUGGGCCUUGUUUAAGUUAAAGUUCCGAGAGCAGCCUGUAAAGGUCAUUUCAUUUCCAUGUAUGAUCCCUUUUCAGAAAAUUCUCGCAGCUUGAUGGCCAAUUGACUCAACAUCUGGGUGAAUUAUGAAACAACACCAAUUGCUUCAUAUUGCUUCAGCAAAUUAUCUUUUUGUAUUUUUUUUUUGGUUUUAAAUUAUUUUUAGUCUCGGCCCACUUACGGAUACAGCAAAUAGGAUGUUCCUUGUGUUCUGUUUUUUUAUUCGCUAAGGAAAACCCUGCAUUGUGUUCUGCGUCCCAAUUGGCUAAGUUACUGUAGACAAGAGGUCUCAAACUGGAAGAGAUAAUAUUUUGUGGCCCCCUCCUUAAUUUGAAACUUUGUUAGUGCAGCCCUUGAGUUUGACAUGAAUGGCAAUUUUGCAGUGUUGUGUCAUGGUGGGAUACUGUAUAUGGCCUUCGGGCACGUAGAAGAAGAGAAAUGUUUAGUUUCUAUCACUGUUUGCAGCUAUUCUUGCAUUGUGUGGAUGUUGUUGUAUUCCCUGCAUAAAGGCAUCACUUAACCAACUUAUAACCACUGCUAUUGCCCCGACAAAUUCAAAAUUGGCAGAAAUAUAUCCACUAUUGGCACAACAGAGUAAUGACAGUGAUAUUUUUGACCACUAUGAUGACGUUAUGACUUCUCUUCCAGACUUGUUCUCUGAUCCAGAAGAUUACAAGUAAUUAGUGCUAUAUUUUCCGACUGUAAGCCGAAAGGGUGAUCUAUUAGAUGAUUUAUGGAUUUGAGCAAAUGUAGGAUAAACAUGAGGAUAAUGUAGAAAUAAUUGUAAAUAGUAUUAAGUAACUGCUUCUGACUGCAAUGAAGAAAUGCUUUGCUCUGCUUCAAUUCAGUUACUGUUUCUGCCUGCAAUGAAGAAAUGCUUUGCUCUGCUCCAAUUCAGUUUCUGUCUCUGCCUGCAAUGAAGAAUGCUUUGCUCUGCUCUAGAAAACGUAGUAGCAAAUGUAGGAUAAAAAGGGGGGAAAUGUAGGAAUAAUUGUGAUCAUAAUUAUCAUACAUUUGCUUCCAAUAAAGAAAUGCUUUGCUCUGCCCUAGAUAACGUGGCAGCCUCCUCGCAGGAGAUAGCAAGAACAAAAACAUCUAAUCAUCAGAACUGUUAGAACUGCUGCCUGUUCAAGAAAUGAUGACCACACAUGUAUUCAGCAAUCUUCCACACAUGCACACGCACAAGAACAAACAUGUACACCUUGUUUCAACAGCACAACAGUUCUCGGGCAAAUCUGCUCCAGUUCAAUGACUCCCGUACUGACAAGCAGGUUUGUUUGGCCGGCAAUCCAUUGAUCUUUUCUUUUCAGCUGGUAUUCUAUGAAAUUAUAUCUUUGAAGAAUUGUCUUGUCUCUGUUGGUUGUAGAAACCAACAGCACAACAGUUCUCGGGCAAUUUGAAAAAUCUGCUCCAGUUCUGCAACUCUUGCACUGUCGAGCGGCUAGGUUUGACCGGCAAUAUGGCGCCAUACAAACUGUGACGUCACAUGUACGGGCUCUAUUCCAGCUGUCAUCGGGCAGGAGGUGGGGUAGACACCGAACUGGUUCCCAGCCAAACGCAGGGCACAUGAAGACAGACAACAGUCAAAAUCACACCAAGGGUCAAUUUAA